rnacentral:rRNA from 1 species
GACGAACGCUGGCGGCGUGCUUAACACAUGCAAGUCGAACGGAAAGGCCCUGCUUUUGUGGGGUGCUCGAGUGGCGAACGGGUGAGUAACACGUGAGUAACCUGCCCUUGACUUUGGGAUAACUUCAGGAAACUGGGGCUAAUACCGGAUAGGAGCUCCUGCUGCAUGGUGGGGGUUGGAAAGUUUCGGCGGUUGGGGAUGGACUCGCGGCUUAUCAGCUUGUUGGUGGGGUAGUGGCUUACCAAGGCUUUGACGGGUAGCCGGCCUGAGAGGGUGACCGGCCACAUUGGGACUGGGAUACGGCCCAGACUCCUACGGGAGGCAGCAGUGGGGAAUAUUGCACAAUAGGCGGAAGCCUGAUGCAGCAACGCCGCGUGCGGGAUGACGGCCUUCGGGUUGUAAACCGCUUUCGCCUGUGACGAAGCGUGAGUGACGGUAAUGGGUAAAGAAGCACCGGCUAACUACGUG